AACCUGCGGGUCGCGGGAUAUGAGUUGCGGGUGGUAGAGGUUCUUGUUCUCUCUCUGCCUGUCACUUUCCUAACCUCUUCGCGGCACUCACGGAUGUCCCGGUGUCUCUGGUGCCGCGUAACUGGUGCAAUAAUCGAUUACCGGUGAUUAAAUUCGCGCGUGAACAAUAACAUGAUGUCGCGGUCGGUGCGCGCGGAGACUCGUAGUCGCGCCAAGGACGACAUUAAACGUGUGAUGCAAGUGGUUGAUAAAGUUCGCCAUUGGGAGAAAAAAUGGGUCACAAUAGGAGAAACGACUAUGAAAAUAUAUAAAUGGGUUCCGAUAUCGACACUAGAUCAGAAGAAAAAAGGGAAGACUGGUUCCGACAAGGAGAACGGUUUGCCGAGGAAAGGAGGAAUAGAUUCGUCAAAUUCUAAUUUCGGACUUACAGAAGACUCCAAUACGUGUUUCUCCACCGUUAGCGAUUCCCAAGGGCUGACAGAUUUCUCUGCACACUUGGGCUUUUCGGAGGACUCCAAUUCGCAAAACAGCGAACCCGCCCCCAAGAGAUUAAAGACUGACUAAUGUUCGACCCGCAAUCAGCAUCACCGCCAACGUCGUGUAGAGGAUACGAGAAUUGUAAAAGUGACUUUGUGAGCGUUGAAAAAGUCUCGAUAAUGAAGCGGAUUGUACAUUCGUGGCGAUUGUGUAGUAACAUUGCAGUAUUACUUUCUUUUGAAACUAUAUUUUUCUCGCUAUAACGAUAUAUUGUUGCACCAAGGGACGGCAGUAUUUUACCGUCGUACUGCACGAAACAACCGGUUUGUUCUUCCGUCAAUGAGUUCAAAGUGUCCAGAAUACGGC